AAGUUGGCAUCUACGACGUCCAUUAUUGCCUCUGGGAGUGAAUAACUCACCCAUUGCUUCAAGCUAAGGUCACCCUCAAACUCAUUAGGCUUUCUCCUAGUAAAUGUUUCCAGCAACAUGACCCCGUAACUGUAUACGUCACACUUUGUUGACACUAGUCCAUCCAGUCCAUACUCUACAGUCAAACAAUUAAUUUAAAGGUGCAAUAGACUUUCUAGCUGGAAAAAAAAAAAAAGGAAAAUCAGCAAAACUAAGAGAAGUACCUGGUGCAAUAUACCCCAAUGUUGCUAAGGUUUUAGUGUACAAAUCACCCUGAUCUUCACCAAGCAGUUUCGAAAUGCCAAAGUCGCUGAGGUGGGCAACCAUAUCCUCAUCCAGCAAGAUGUUACUAGGCUUCACGUCACGGUGAAUCACAGGCAGCGAGCAUCCAUGGUGAAGAUAUUCCAAAGCACAUGCCACAUCGAUCAUUAUGCUUAGUCUCUGCUUGGUGUCAAGGAAGUAGUUGUGCGAAUACAAAUACUUCUCAAGACUUCCAUUAGGCAUAUACUCGAGCACUAAAGCCUUGAAAUCAAGAUUGGAACAACUAGUAAUGACUUUAACGAGAUUCCUAUGGCGAAGUCGGCACAAAACUUCACAUUCCGUAUCAAAACUCUUGAAUGCCGCAUCCAGUUGCAGGUUGAACACUUUAACUGCAAUGGCAGUUCCACUUUUGAGUAUGCCUUUGUAAACAGAGCCAAAACUUCCAGAACCAAUCAAAUUACUCUCACUAAGACCAUCCGUUGCUUGGAGCAGUUCAUAGUAUGAAAUUCGUUUCUUUGUAGCCAAUGAAUCUGAUUGUUGAGGAGCUCUUUUACCUCUUCUAUACCUUAUCCAUACAAACACAAAUAUGACAGGAACAAAUAAAAUUGCAAGUCCUAGAAAAAGAUAUAGAAGUAGCAAUAUUUUCUUGUUUGAUUUGUGCUUUGAUGAAGAUGGGCAUGAUGGGACACUAAAUCUUGAAGAACCACACAAUGCUUCAUUGUCAAUGAAAAAUUGACUCGAGAGGUUCUUGAAAGGACCCCCCGAGGGUAUUUCACCAUACAAUUGGUUGUCUGAAACAUUGAAAUACUUGAGGUAUUGAAGUUUCUCCAGAAACAUGGGAAUCAUUCCCGAUAAAUUAUUGUGAGAAAGGUCUAGGAAUUCUAAACCUACCAUGUUGCUCAUUGAGUCAGGUAUAGAUCCUUGAAACUUGUUGUGUCUCAAAGAAAGGAUUGCCAGAUUUUGCAAUCUUCCAAUUUCUCUAGGAAUUUUAUUUGAGAAUUGGUUCAUUGAUAGAUCGAUCUCUGUUACAGCCUUUAGAUUUCCAAUUUCUGGAGGCAAAGAACCUACCAUGUUGUUUGAUGAUAAGUCAAGAAACACUAGAUCCUGAAGAUUCCCUAUGCUUGGUGGUAUAUUGGAACUCAAUUUAUUGGAACCCAGAUGUAUCUCCCUAAGGGAAGUAAUAUUCCCUAAACAAUUAGGAAGAGAUCCUGAAAGCUGAUUUUGACCCAAGUAAAUUUCACCCAAAUUCUGCAAUUUACAUAUAUGAUCACCAAUAAAUCUUGUAAGUUUGUUGUUACUCAAGUUGAAGCGCUGAAUGUUUCUCAAGUUUCCAAUUGUCGUGGGAAUCGAUCCAGCCAAGCUGUUCUCAGAAAGAUCAAGGUCUAAUAAACUGCUUAAGUUCCCAACUUCCUUUGGAAUUCGCCCUUUGAUUUUACAACUGCUGGCAUAAAAUUUUAUUAGAGAUGUGGAAAAGUUCCCAACAGAGACUGGAAGCAUGCUGUUUAGAGGGUUGGAAGAUAGAGAUAGAGUUGUUAAAUUUUUGCAAUUGGGUAAGGAAGUAAGGAAGCUUAACGAAGAGUCGCUGGUUAAAUUGUUUUCUCUCAUGUUUAGGAACCGUAGAUGAGUCAAAUAUCCAAGAGAGCUAGGAAUCAAGCCAGUGAGUUUGUUGUAAGAAAGAUCUAGAAUAGUAAGUUCUGAACAAUUGGAGAUAGAAUGAGGAAUCGUUCCAACAAGAUUGUCGAAUGACAUAUAAAUCUCUUCAAUGUUGGGUAAGAGCGAACCUAAGUUUGAUGGGAGGCUUCCUGAUAGAUUGUUGAAUGAAAGAUCAACUACUCUUAGCCCUGAUAUGUUGAAGAUCUCCAUUGUAAGUGGACCACUAAUAUCAUUAAGAUCAAGCAGAAUUUCCUCCAACUCAAUGAGAUUGCUCAUCUCUUUGGGUAUUUCUCCUGCCAACACAAGGACAAAAAGGAAUACUGGUGAGUUAACUAGCAUAAGUUGUACUUCUUGCUAUCACUUUGAUUACGUACCGGAAAACCUAUUUUGUUCAAGAUAUAAAAAUUGCAUCUUGGUUAAGUUGCCAAUCUCUAGUGGUAAGAAUCCAUUAAGAUUGUUCCUCGCCAGUGACAAAACUUGCAACACCGAGAUGUUGAAUACGGAGAUUGGGACUGAGCUGGUUAACUGGUUUACCUCCAUCCACAACUCCAUCAAAUUAACAAGAUUUCCAAUUUCUUGUGGAAUUAUUCCUGCAGUUAAUGUCUAAUUAAUUUUAUUUUUUUUGAAGUAAAUAGAUAAAAGGGAAAAUACCCAAUUACCCCCUGAAUUAUACCCAAAAAGGCUAUGAUACACCUCAACUUAAAAGGGUCCUAUUACCCCUAAACUAAUUAAAAGUGUAAUUUUGACAUGGUGCCUAAGUGACCCAUACGUGGCACACACGUAUGUCUAUGUGAACACUUCAGUGUGUUGUGACAUGUAUGUGCCACUUAGGCACUAAAAUUACACUUUUAAUUAGUUCAGGGUAAUAGGACCCCCUUUAAGUUGAGGUGUGUCAUAGCCUUUUUGGGUAUAGUUCAGGGGGUAAUUGGGUAUUAUCUCUAGAUAAAUUAUUACUAGCAUUCAUAAGAGAAAACAUACCUGUGAAAUGGUUAAUUCCGAGAUACAGUUGCUGCAAGUUACUCAAUCUUCCAAGUUCACUAUGUAUUGGUCCAUCAAACUCAUUUUCCGAUAAACCUAGUAGUUGAAGUUGUGAACAAUUUGACAAGCUCGUGGGAAUAUGACCAUCAAGCUUGUUUGUUGAUAGAUAAAGACCUUUGAGAUUUGGAAGACCAUUGCAUAAACCAUUGGGAAGACUUCCUGAUAAGCUAUUGCCAGUAAAUGAAAUGACUUCGAUUCUAGAAAUAUUGAAAACUGUCAAUGGUAUAGAACCCGUAAGUUGAUUAUAUUGUAUGGCCAACCAGUUCAGGUUGUGAAGAUUGCCGAUUUCGUUUGGAAUGCUUCCUUGAAGUAAAUUGCCAGAUAAUUCUAACCUCUCCAACCUUGAGGCAUUCGAGAGAGACACAGGGAUAUGACCUUCUACGGAAUUGAAUGCCAAAUUCAACAUUUCAAGCUUUGAAAUGUUAAAAAAUGAUGAGGGAAGGGGGCCGGUAAAACUAUUAUUCUUAAGGCUUAGAAAUUGAAGUUCGUGUAAGAACCCAAACCAAGAAGGAACCUCCCCUAUAAAGUUGUUGAAACUUAAAUCAAGAAACUUAAGCCGACGCAAGCGUGUCAUUUCUUGAGGCAAAUUUCCAUGGAAGUUGUUCCUUCCCAAGUCAAGAGAAGCAAGAAAUGAGAGGUUUCCAAAAUCUUGUGGAAUUCUGCCUGUAAGAGCCAUAUUAGAAAGAUUCAAGGACUUCACUCGUUGGUGACGAGAGCCACAAGUGACUCCGACCCAAUGACAAACAGACGUAGACGGAGACCAACUUUCAUCCAAGAAGUGAAAGUGGUCCGAAAUGAUUUGAGAUUUCAGGGAAAGAAGAGCUAAUUGAUCAGUGGAGAUGUUAAAUUGGGUCAUGGCUGAACUACUUAUAAUAUAGUACUGGAGCAACAAGAGAAAAGAGGUGAAAGAUUUCUCCAUAAUUGCAUAAAUUGGUAGAAAUAUGGAUAUGACUAGCAAUGAUGUGGUUUUGAGACUUUAAAUAGCAAAGAGGUCUCUUGCUCUUUCUGAUUUUAAAAUCUAUAUUUUUGAGAAUUUUCCAUUCAAACAUAUUUUAAGGAAAAAGGAAAUAACUUUAAUUUCCUUUAUUAAUUAAUUAAGUCAUCUAAAGACUAAUAAUACAACUAAAGAAAGUAUUUUUAAUUUGUUCAGGUGGAAGACCAAGAAAGAAGAAUCAAAAUGGAGUCUUCCACUAACUUAUAUAAAUAACCAAAUGUAAGAUGUGCAUUGAGCAAGAAUAAAUACGGAGUAUAUAUAGAUAUAUGUUGGUGUAUGUUGUGCAUUUUUAAUUUAAAAAUUAGAAUAUUAAAGUGUAUGAUAAUUAAUAGGCAUAAAGUGGAGAAAUUGUUGCUAUUGUAACUUAUAUAAACCACAAUGAAAUGUUCUAACUCGCAUUAUCUCCUACUAAUUGUCCCACUGCUCCUCAAAUGACUAUCCACCUUCUUGACAUGUAUUUGUGGAAGAAAUCCUACACCUACAUAACUAACGGGUGUUUUAUUCUUUAUGUUGUAAUAGAUGAGAAGUAUUAUAUUGUGUUCAUAUUAGAGAGUAGUGUAGUGAAACUGUGAAAGAGAGAGUAGAGAUAAAGAAAAAAAUAGACUAAUUAUAUGUUAGAAUGAAGGUGUUCUUUUGGUGUAGCGCUGGAUUCUUCAACUAAUCUGGAGUUAUUUGAGUUAUACGACGUUGUUGUGGUAUUGUAUCCUAGAGGGAAAAAGUCUAAGAGUGACACUGCUGGAUCAGUGUAGAUUAUGCCACAUUGAACUUGAAUCUGCUUAAAAAGAGCGAGAUAUUCAUGUUAGCCUCCUAUACUUAUGUUCUAUAUUUUAAUAAUGACAAAAUAAUGAGUAAACAUUUGCAAGAUAUUGAAGAUCUCUAAUGAUGGAAGAAGAAGAUAUUGAAGAUACACCAAAGAUGCAGAAUUUCUGGGGAAUCAACUAAAGAUAUCCAAGAAUAUCUUGCUAAAUGAAACAAACAUUCAAUAACAAGAUGCCCGACACUAAACUUGGAACAAUAUCAAUGAUAUGGAAUCAAUGCAAGACUUCCAAGAAAAUCUCGCAAAGAAAAGCAAAUUCCAACAACAGCCUGACUGGAGCAAAACCUGGGAAAGAACAUCACUCCCUAUAGUAGCAAAAGGAAAGAAGAUCAAGGACGUAUAUGAUACGGACGUGUAUACAGUACCGUGUAUGGACAUAUCUGAUAUAUACAUACUAUAUGGUGUUGGUUUAAAAUCGUUAAAGGGAAAUAACAUAGAAAUUCAAUUCAAAAGCUAACCGACUAAACAGAGACGAAGUUUGUAAAAGAGAAUAUGCAGAGAGGUUGAUUAUUUUCUUGUAAAAGCCAUGUCUCAUUAAUACGUAAAAAAAUUGGAGAGAAUAAAAGCAAAGAAAGACGUGCAUUGCUGAAGCAACUCUCAACACUCCUCCUUGCUUUAUGAAAUGCAAACUCCAAUUUCUGUCUGAGAAGCUCGAAUUUGUUGACUGGUAAGGCUUAGCAAAUAUAUCAGCCCAUUGUUCUUCCGUCUUGUAGUAGACAAGAAUCACAUCUCCAUCUUUUUGAACUUCUCUCUGGAAGAAAAACUUGAUAUCUAAGCUCUUAAAUUUUUCAUGAAACACAGGAUUGUGAGAAAUAGCUAUUGUUGCUUGGUUAUCAAGUAGGUGAUGUUCCCAUAAAAUGGACAAAGGAUGCAUUUUUAGACUUGACUCGCCUUUUCCUCGAUCUGUAACAAUCUUAUUAUUGUCCUAUAGAUACUGAUUACUUAUAUAGUUAUAGUAUACGCUAAGCAAAAUAUGCUAAAUUGUGCUAAAGUAUUAAUUUCUUGCUAAUGGAGUUUGACGCUUUAAGAACAAAACAAUGCAGUUGGAAAGGAGAAAUGAGAAAAUUCUUGAUGAUCAAUUAUGUAUGAAUCUUGAACUGAAUUUGAAAAGUGAUUGUUUUUUAUCUCACUAAAAUAAUUUUAAGUGGACUCUGAUUACUUAAAAUGUUCCUCCCAGCACUAGUGCUAAAUGGUCCAUCUUUCACUAACAUAAUAGGUAUAUUUCUUUGCACUAUUGGGACUGCAUGUACCAAGAGCGCUCGGAUAUGUUCCAACAUGAUAGCUUUCGAAAGCAAACUGUGAUACAUUAUUCGAACAGAAGGUGGAAGAUUAACAGGAGGCACACCCCUGGACCUAAUUUAACUAACUGUAUAUUAAAGAGAGAAGUAUACAUUACCCCUGAACUUGACGAAUUUUUUUCAUAGUAUACCUAAACUUGACUUGUCCUAAGUACCACGAACUUGCUGUUUUAGUAAGUUGCAAGGCCUUUUUUUCUGACUGUCCAGUGCAUGUACACCACGUGAGUACACGUGGAAAAAAGUGUUGAUGUAGCUUUCUAUGUGGAUAAAUACCAUCCAGUUCCCUUAUAUUUAUCCUAUAUUAAAAAAUAACUCACUUCUACCUUUAAUUAUCUGAUUUCUCUCUAAAAAAAUUAUAUUUCUCAGUUUUCCUCUACUCCAAAGUAGUGAAAGGUUGAAUUUUCGUCGAUCAAGUAAGUUAUUAUCUAAAAAUUUAUAUUUUUUGGUGUGCGUUAAAAAAAUAUGAAAUUAUUUUUUUCCAGUUAGUGUUUCAUAGUAGUGUACGAUUAGUAUUUCGAUUCAGAUUUUGAGGAGACUCACAUGCACAAAUAUGCUUCUUAUUAUAAUUAACGGGGUAGGAAAUUGCAAUUUAAGUUAGGGGCUUACAAAAAUCAAACCGAUAAAAAUGUUAUUGAUUUAUUGUUAUAGGGUUAACAAUUUUUUUAAUGAUUUUAUAAAAAAAAAUUAUUGGGUCAUUGAUUCGAUUUUGAUUUUUUUUAUUAGGUAAACCGAUAACCUAAUAAGAUUAUGCUAAAUUAUUAUUUUACAUCCCAUAUAUAUAUAUAUAUACUAGUUAAGUUGCACGUGCCUCGCACGUGUAACCUUUGAUUAUUUAAAAUUAGACAAUUUCAUCUAUUGGAAGAUUUUUAAUAAAGCGCAAAAAGUUUAAAUCACUUCUCAAAGAUCCUCUACACUUUAAUAUAAUAAUGCAAAAAUAACAUAUACUUUUAUUGAAAGCACAUAGAUAUUUUACCACUAAGAGUUUCAAGUGGUUAAUGAAUCAUCAAUUUUGUGUUUGUCAUGUGAUACCUCUUUUCUUUACUGCUAGAAGCUAAGAGAGACGCAUCAAUUUGAAUUAUAUUUGUAGUGUGAUUAUUUUAUUUUAUUUUUCCUAUAUUAAAAAUAUUUCCUUAUUUUGAGAGUUAAAUCUUUAAAAAAUCUUUGAUUACAUCUUCUAACACUUUCAUAUUUAUUUCUUGAUUAUUUGAAUCUUCUUAAAAGUUGAUUUAGAAUUCUUAAACUAAUUAAAAAGGUAUUCGUCGUCAUUAAUUCUAAUAACUUUUAAUAAGAAAAAGGUUUUACAAUAAAUAUUUAAUUAAUUUUUAAUUCUUAAAUAUUAGAAAAAUAGUGAAAAGACAAUUUUGUCUAAAGCAAAAACUUUUAAUGAGGCGCAAAAAAUUUAAAGCUCUUCACACUUGACCAUAAAAUGCAGUGGUUAUCGCUCUUGCAAUUCUUAUUUAUUGCAAAACUAAAAUCAAAAGCGUGAGGAGCUUAGGUUCUUUUUUAAGAAAAUGAAAAGUAGCUAUGAAAAUAGGAUCUUCAACGCUAAAAUUUUAUAAUUCAGAAAUAUCGUUAACUCAAAGUGCAAAUCUGACCCCAAUUGUCAUAUUUUAGGUAAUUUUGAAUCUUUUAUCAAAUGGGUCCUAUAAGUUGUGAACAGUGAUGUAAGCUAGAUAAAGUAGCCGAGCUUGUCCAUAAAAUGCAGUGGUCAGAGGCAGAUCUAGAAUUUAAACUCCCAACCUAUAAUUCACCGCACUUUGUACUCUACAUCCGCCGCUGACAGUGGUUACCGCUCUUGCAAUUCUUAGAUAUUCCUAAUGGAAUAUAUUUGGUUAAGUGUUCACGAAAGACCAAAGCCUUUCGUUAUCCUUGAUUCUGACCAUGACUAUUAUAUUUAAGUGUUGUGUUUUUAUGUUUGUAACGACAAAAAAAAAAGAGAAAAAUAAACCCAGAAACUGCAUCCUAAAAAAGAAACCUGAUAACUGGCAAUAUCUUGUGCAGCUGCUUUCAUCUCAUCUUCAGUUCCUUCUGAUGGCGCGGAGCUGGAAUUAAGAUCUGAAUCUUUGGAAUCCAUCGCAUGCUUCAAAUUCAUCGGAAGCUCCCCUAUAUCUCCAGGCCAACGAUAAAAUUCCCUGAUUCUCCUAACGAUGGAGACACAGUAAUCUUCCAACUACAGAAACAAUGAGCACUUGGCAAUGUGAUGAUUUGAACAGAAUCAAAGUUCUUGGUAUAUGAACUUUGUAAGUUGCAGAUUAGAGAAGAAGGAAGAAGGGAGAACAGAGAAGAAAUGGAAUGGAGAGCUUGAUCAUUGAUUGAAUCUUGUGUUUUCUUAGCUUUACAUGUAGUGAGUAGCGUGUAUAUAUAUUGUUACAUGGAAGGAUCUAGAAGCUAACUUCCUAACUAACUCUAUCAACUAUACUUCACAUAGUUAGUUAAAUAAUUAACUUCCUGAAACAGAUUAACUGUUACAUUGAACUUGUAGCUCUUUCUUCUUCUUUCAACACUCCCCCUCAAGCUAGGUGAUCCCAAAUAGAUUUAGGAUGCCUAGCUUUGACAUCAAAUGUUCAUGUUGAGCUCUGUUGAGGCCCUUAGUUAGCACAUCAGCUGGUUGAUCCCUGGUAGGAAUAUAGUUGACUGUAACUAGUCCUUGAGUGAUCUUCUCCCUUAUGAAGUGGCAUUCUAUUUCAAUGUGCUUGGUCCUUUCAUGAUAUGCAGGAUUGGAUGCAAUUUGUAUUGCUGAGUUACUAUUAGUGUGAAUUUUUCCAGGCUGCUUGACAUCAAUCCCAAUCUCCUGUAAUAGUCCCAGUAACUAGACAAGUUUAGCCACAGUUGCUGCAAUGCUUCUGUAUUCAGCUUCAGCUGAACUCCUGGAAAUUGUGUUUUGCUUCUUACAUUUCUUGGAAACAAUAGAUUCUCCUAACUUUACCAAGUAGCCAGAUCUUCUUGAGAAUGGACAUGAUGCCCAAUCUGCAUCACAGUAUGCAAAGACUUCUGUAUUUGCUUGACUGGACAUUAAUACUCCUUGUCCAAGUUUCUUCUUAAUGUGUUUGACUUGUCUGAUAGCAGCAUCCAUGUGAUAUUUUUUUGAUUGUUGUAGAAACUGACUGAGAGUCUGGACACUAUAAGCAAUAUCAGGUCUGGUCAUAGUGAGAUACAACAAUUUUCCUAUGAGUCUCUGAUAAGCAUGCAGAUUAGCUGGUGGAUCAGUGGGUCCUUGCUCAUUUUUAUAGAUAUGAUCAUCACACUCCUUAGUGUCAACUUAAUGUUUGUGUCUAUAGGUGUAGCAGCUGGUUUAGCAGCACCAAGUCCCAAUUCAGAUACAAGCUCUAAUGCAUAUUUUCUCUGGUGCAUCAGAAUACUUUCUUUUGAUCUUGGAAAUUCAAUACCUAUUGACACCUAAUUUUGUCCCUUCCAAAGUCUAAUUUUAUUCAUUUUUAGUUCACCUUACCAUGUGUCCAACCCCAUGAAAUUAUAUCCCACAAAAAUACAAAAAUAAACAAAAAAUAAUACCUCUAACUAAUUUAUCUUAUCCUAACAACCUACCCAAUCAAAAGUUUCGACCUCCCUACCCACUCAUAUUUUUAUCCUCACAAUAACAAACUAAAAGAAAUAAUAUAUGCGGGACCCACCAAAAUUCCCACAUCAUAACAAAUCCAUGCCAAUUAUAAAAGAAAAAUUCUAAGAGGGAAAAAGGGGAGGCUCAUUCUUUGAUCGUCAUCUUCUCCACAAUAACAACAAUCAAAAAAUAAUCUUCCUCACAAGAACAACAACAACAACAACAACAACAACAACAACAACAACAACAACAACAACAACAACAACAACAACAACAACAACAACAACAACAACAACAACAACAACAACAACAACAACAACAACAACAACAACAACAACAACAACAACAACAACAACAACAACAACAACAACAACAACAACAACAACAACAACAACAACAACAACAACAACAAAAUUUUAAAAAAAGGGCGCCGGUGAACAGUAAUCGGUGAAUAGUAUCGGUGAACAGUAACGGUGUGAAAAGUGACGGUGAACGGUUCAUUAUUUGUUGAGUUGGAUUGUUGGUGUUAAGGUUCGUCUCGAGGUUUCCAGGUGCGGACUCUCUUUAUUCGAAUAACAUUGAGUUUGAAAGCUUCAAAUUUAAGGUCCAAUUCUUUCUUCUCUUUUAUUUAAUUCUUAUGUGAUUGUGAUUGCAUGUGAUUCGAUACUGUGGUUUGUUUGUUGAUGUGAACUAUUGGUGACAUUUGGGUGUGUGAUGUGCUAAGCAUGAUUGGUGAAUUUUUGUUAUUCUCGAUUGGUGGAUUGUGUAUUGAAAUGGGUUAAUCACGUGGUUGAAAAUGAAUUAAGGUGGGGAUUAAAAAUGGAGGAAAAUGAAUAUUGAUUAAUUUUGAUGUAUUGAUAAUGUUGAACAUGAUAGAAUUGUGAUACGUUGAAAUUGGUAGGCAAACAUAGGCCGGGUAGGCAAAUUUAGGAAUAACAAUUUGUUGGAGUGUUUGAAUAUGUGCGUGAAUAGUACUUUCUACUUUAUUGCACGAAAAGUUUAAAUUGUACUUAUUUGGCCGGCGAAUGCCCCGAAGAAUUUGUAUUGAUUUAUCCGGGGAAUGCCCCAAAGUAGCAUGUACGCAAAGGAGGCUCGUGAUCAAGNNNNNNNNNNNNNNNNNNNNNNNNNNNNNNNNNNNNNNNNNNNNNNNNNNNNNNNNNNNNNNNNNNNNNNNNNNNNNNNNNNNNNNNNNNNNNNNNNNNNNNNNNNNNNNNNNNNNNNNNNNNNNNNNNNNNNNNNNNNNNNNNNNNNNNNNNNNNNNNNNNNNNNNNNNNNNNNNNNNNNNNNNNNNNNNNNNNNNNNNNNNNNNNNNNNNNNNNNNNNNNNNNNNNNNNNNNNNNNNNNNNNNNNNNNNNNNNNNNNNNUAUAUAUAUAUAUGUAUGUAUGUAUGUAUAUACAUAUAUAUGUAUGUAUGUAUGUAUGUAUAUAUAUAUGUAUGUAUGUAUAUAUAUAUAUAUGUAUAUACAUACAUACACACAUAUAUAUAUAUGUAUGUAUGUAUAUAUACACAUAUACAUACACGUGCCUCGCACGAGUAACCUUUGAUUAUUUAAAAUUACACAAUUUUGUCUAUUGCAAAGAUUUUUGAUAAAGUGCAAAAAGUUUAAAUCAUUUCUCAAAGAUCCUUCACACUUUAAUAUAAUAAUGUAAAAAUAACAUAUAUUUUUAUUGAAAGCACAUAUAUAUUUUACCACCAAAAUUUUCAAGUGGUUAAUGAAUCUUCAAUUUUGCAUUUGUCAUGUGAUACCUCUUUUCCUUACUGCUACUGGCUAAGAGAGACAUAUCAAUUUGAACUAUAUUAGUAGUACGAUUAUUUUUUUCCUAUAUUAAACAUAUUUCCUUAUUUUGAAAGUUAAAUCUUUGAUUACUUAUUCUAACACUUUCGUAUUUAUUUCUUGAUUUUUUGAAUCUUCUUAAAAGUUGAUUUAGAAUUCUUAAGUUAAUAAAAAAGGUAUUCGUUGUCAUUAAUUCUGAUGAAUUUUAAUAAGAAAAAGGUUUUACAAUAAAUAUUUAAUUAAUUUUCAACUCUUAAAUAUUAGAAAAAUAGUGAAAAGACAAUUUUGUCUAAAGCAAAAACUUUUAAUGAGGCGCAAAAAAUUUAAAGCUCUUCACACUUGACCAUAAAAUGCAGUGGUUAUCGCUCUUGCAAUUCUUAUUUAUUGCAAAACUAAAAUCAAAAGCGUGAGGAGCUUAGGUUCUUUUUUAAGAAAAUGAAAAGUAGCAAUGAAAAUAGGAUCUUCAACGCUAAAAUUUUAUAAUUCAGAAAUAUCGUUAACUCAAAGUGCAAAUCUGACCCCAAUUGUCAUAUUUUAGGUAAUUUUGAAUCUUUUAUCAAAUGGGUCCUAUAAGUUGUGAACAGUGAUGUAAGCUAGAUAAAGUAGCCGAGCUUGUCCAUAAAAUGCAGUGGUCAGAGGCAGAUCUAGAAUUUAAACUCCCAACCUAUAAUUCACCGCACUUUGUACUCUACAUCCGCCGCUGACAGUGGUUACCGCUCUUGCAAUUCUUAGAUAUUCCUAAUGGAAUAUAUUUGGUUAAGUGUUCACGAAAGACCAAAGCCUUUCGUUAUCCUUGAUUCUGACCAUGACUAUUAUAUUUAAGUGUUGUGUUUUUAUGUUUGUAACGACAAAAAAAAAAGAGAAAAAUAAACCCAGAAACUGCAUCCUAAAAAAGAAACCUGAUAACUGGCAAUAUCUUGUGCAGCUGCUUUCAUCUCAUCUUCAGUUCCUUCUGAUGGCGCGGAGCUGGAAUUAAGAUCUGAAUCUUUGGAAUCCAUCGCAUGCUUCAAAUUCAUCGGAAGCUCCCCUAUAUCUCCAGGCCAACGAUAAAAUUCCCUGAUUCUCCUAACGAUGGAGACACAGUAAUCUUCCAACUACAGAAACAACGAGCACUUGGCAAUGUGAUGAUUGAACAAUAUUACCUACUGAUAAAAAGACGCAGAACGCCUGGGGUAAAAUGAUAAUCAACUAAAAGAGCGUAAAAAAAAAUAAAAGUGGUCAAUAAUGCAAAGCAUGCGUCAUCCACUACAUGGUAACUUCUUAACACAGGAUACUUAUCUCCCCUCAUAUGAAGCAGCCAUUGAAGUAGGUACAGCAAUCUCUGAAAUCUGUUGCUGGUAGAAGAUGACUGGUAUCCCCACGGAUUUGUUGUAAAAAGAAAAAAAAGAACAAUCUUUUCUUCAUUUUUUCAUGUUGUUUCCACUUUAGGGCCCUUACAACAUAACAUAAAUUAUCUUUUCAUAAAAAGUUAAAAAAGAUACACCAUUUUCUUUGUCACUUUCUUGAAAAUUCUACUGCAAUAAAGCUGAAACUUCCACUAAUGCUUCAUACAAUACUUGACUCAAUACCCUUUACAGGGAAUCAGUUCACUACCACAAAUCCACUAACAAAAAAGUCAUAUUCUAUGUGAAGAUUAAAGCAACUCGUGAUAUGCAUGGAAGAUGUUUGAUGAAAUGACUGAAAGAGUAUUCAAUUAAAAAAGACUGCAGCAACAGAGUAGGGAUGUUACCUUCUUUCUUUUUCUCAAUAAACAAAGACCAUUAGCAAUGGAUUGUGGAAAAAUUUCAUCUUUUUUGAGUAAAGUGGCUUAUAGUGUCAAUGAAGUGGUCGAGAAUAUAAUUCGAGGUUUCAGGUUCAAGUCCCUGAACUAGAUGAACUAAUAAAAUUCAUACCUCACAAGAUUCCAUAGACUGAUGCUGAAUAGUGAUCAUGUCAGAUGAGUUGACUGGAUACUUUUCAAUGGGGAAAGGAGGAAGAUAACGUUGACCAAGAAUUCUUAUAGAAACAAGAAAAACUCCACUUGCAAGGACCAUGGAGAUUUGCCUUUGACAUAGAAAUGCUUCUCUACAAUCCAAAAGGAGAAAAUAUUGUUAUCCAUUUGGUUCCGGAAGACAACUUUUGUACUUAAAGUAGUCAAUUUAGAUAAAGAAAACUUGAAGUCAUAUUCGAUACUCACAAAAAUAUAGAGAAUGCAUGAAUGUGAAGGAAGGCAAGAUCAAAGAAGAUACCAACUAGCCAUUCAGUAAAACACAAACCACCUCCAAAAGGGAGUUCAAAUACUUCAAAUAGCAAACUAAUGAGAGUGCUUUAUUAAAAGGCAUAGUCAUAAACAGGACAACUUGACAUCAAAUUAUAAUUAUGGCCUGUACAAGUAGGUUCUUUACCUAUACAAAAAAUCUCAACAAAAAAAUGCUUCAAUCUUGCAACACAUAUGCGUGAAAAUCGAUCCUACAUGGACUAGUACUCCAACCAAAUGCUGCCACCUAAUUGAAAAGAUACACGUAGAUUUUAGAUAUUAAAAAAAAAAAAAAAUUUAAUAUAUCACCAUCACAAAUACAUGUACUUUUUAGACUUUUUUUCCUUAAAAAUAAUAAUAAAAAAUGCCAUUAUUAAAAUAACAUUCAAGUCCGAUGAAAAUUGAAAGGUUCAUUUAGAAGAAAAUGUUAAAUCCGAUGAAAACCCUACCAAAUUUCCAUCUCUUAUUCCCUUUUAAUUAAGGAAAACUUAUUGAAAUUAUCCAUUGGAGCUUCACAAAAUAAAAGCCAUUUAACAUGAAGUCUGCACAAUUCCUUUAAAACUGUUAGCUCUUCGGAUAUUCAAAUGAAGCAUACACCAUCGUCUAAAGGAGAAACUGAGAAGAGCAUUAGAUAAUUGAUCAUACUUUUCUUAAUUGGGUUACUUUUUUAUUUUUUAGAGUGGUUGGAGAAAAUAAAAAGUGAAAAUUUGAUUUGUAUAUAUAUAAAAAGGAUUCCUUAAGGGUAUAAUAGUCAUUUGAGCAUUAUUUUUACUAUUGGGGGCUCUAAUUUUUAUCACACGUGCGAUAUUUUGUGUGUAAUCACGCAUUUUGUCAGGUAGGAUUGGAGUAUUUUUUUAUUCAGCUAUUGUAUAGUUAAAGGACUUACUUAUGCAUGAGCAAAGUUACAGGUCAUAGUUAUAAUUUGAUGUCAAUUUAAAGGUCUUAUUUAUGUAUUAUGGCUUAUUAAAACUGUAUUUGUUUACCAAUUAAAAGCUUCAAAAGAAGACCGGCUACAGAAGAAAUUCUCAGUUCAUGGAUAAUAACAAAUAAAGCAGGUAUGAAAAGCGCUUACACGUCAUACCUUGAAAGAUUUUGCAACAACACCCGAUGAUAAUUGCUAGUAGUAAUAUAUAAAAACACCUAAUUGAUAUGUGUUAAAGCUAUAAUGAAUGUACUAUAAUUUGAUAGAAUCAUGAAAUCUUUUACACUUUAAUAGUGACCUAGUUUUAAUAAACAUAUAUAGGUGUCUAUAGAUAGAUAAAGUAAAUCUUGUAUGUAUAUAUAAAAGUGUAAUCUAAUUAUCUAAUGCUUAAUCACUUAUUUAAUACAAUGUGAUUUCAUGCUAGGUCGUUAACUACCUAAUUGUUAUAUAUAAAAAUAUACAAUAUGUGCUAAUGAAUGUACCUUAUCGAAAUUAACUAAAACUUAACUCAUGUAGAAAAAAAUAUCACGAGUAAUAAACGUACAUGAAUUGAUAGACAUAGUAAUUAAAUUUCGUUUGUCCAUACAUCUAUUAUGAACAUUAGCAUCAAGUUUGACGCAAAAUUUAAAAGUAAUUCUUUACAAGUAAAAUAAUACAUCUUCUUUAUUUUCUAAAAAUUCCAUUUGCUCUCAUUUUUUUAUUUUUUAUUUUUUUGAAGUUAUCAGCGAUAUAGUAAAAACAUAAUGUAUAAAUCCCGCCCACCCCCCACCCCCCACACCACGAAAAAAANNNNNNNNNNNNNNNNNNNNNNNNNNNNNNNNNNNNNNNNNNNNNNNNNNNNNNNNNNNNNNNNNNNNNNNNNNNNNNNNNUGUGGCAUUAAAAACUAAAUACAUAUUUAUAGAAAAGUUUGGUUAACUUCCACAAAUUUUAAUUACAACAAUUUCAUGUCUUUCUUGCAUCUUUUUAAACCUAUAUAGACUUCUUUAUAAUACAUAUUUAGAAUGUCAGUUAGACUAACCUGAAAAAGUAAAACUAUGUAAUUAUUAGGAAUAAUUACAAUGCCCAUCAAGUUCACUUUCUCCUCUCUUGUCGCCGCCUUCCCACUUUUUUGCUUCUUUGGCGCCAUUUUCACUAGUGAUAAGGAUAAAAGAAAGCGUAGGAGAGAAGAGCUGAUCAAAUAGCAAAGUGGUAGGAGAAGCAAACAGAAACACAUGUGAUGUGGCAUUGUCAUUUCCCUUUCUUGAUUAAAUAGGCGCUUAAUACUACCUAGAGACAACAUAAAACAAAAAUACUCAUCAUUGAUUUGUUUGCUGACCAUUAGGCUACCUCGGAUUCUUCCCUCUAGAUAUUAAUGAGGUGGCUGGGAAGGAUAGAUCCCAACUUAUUAUACACGGAUAAGGAUAUUUCUCGUCAAUCUAAUACUGAUAUAGUUCCUAUAGCCAUAUUCCUUGACUUUCCUAGACUUAUUAGUAUAUUCCUUCUAUUUUCUUACUGGAAUGGAUAUUCUAACAACAAAUGGCCUAGCUUAGGUAGUUGGCAGCACUUUAUCGUGAGCUGCAUCGGAAAGAGUAUCCAAUUUAUGCUUUAUGGAAAGGGUACUACUUAGUGUAUAUAACAUUUCUAAGUUGGUUCUCACAGGUAAACAAAGAGGUGGAUCAUCUGAUCAUAAAAUAGAUCAUCCCGUUCGUCCCAUUCUUUGAUUAUGAUCGUACUGGAUCGGACGAUUCUGAGCAUCCUGCUUUUAACAUUCAUUCUACAGAACGAAAAAAAACUUGUUUUAUUUUGCUUUUCUAUUUUUUUCCUUUUGUGUGUGAUUGUAUUCUAGUUAACCCACAUUCUUUCCGCAACAGCCAUAUAUCAAUUAUGUUGUGAAAGAUGGACCAUUUAGCACUAGUGUUGACUCUCACACCAUCAGCUCUACCAAAAACGGAUUGUUAGACAUUACUCGAACAAAAGGCAGAAGAUUAACAGGAGGCAUACCUGGAGCUAAUUUAGCUAACUGCUCAUUGUUAAAUAUACAGGGUCUGGUCGGUGUGGCCGCGACAAGGACUUGGUUUCAGAUGGGAAACUUAGUGAGUCAGCAUAAUGGGGAAUCCAGCGAAUCGUUGAAAAUAACAGAUCCUUUCUGCAGUGUAGGAACAAACAAAAUCCAUUUAUAUUACAUGCCUAUCUGUAUUCGUGCACUUAAUUCCUCUAAAAUAUUUUGGUUUUACUUAUUCAAUUUACAAGUUCCCCCCUGUUGCAACAAUAAUACUAAGAGGAAACAGUGAGAUGUAUUGCAACCAUCUAGCAUUUCUGAAAACAGAAUCAUGCACAAAUCAAUUGCUAAAACAAAACAAUACAAAACAACAAUCUUUACAUGAAUACAGCAAUUUAGAAAAAGUUGAAACAAACAAGUGAGUUGGAACAACAGAUUCCAAAAUCAUGUUCAAUAUGCAAGAAGUUGAAUCUUGAUCUUCUGCAGCAUCCCUACAACAUCUUUCAUGUUUGUCCUUCUUCCCAGAGAUUCAGCACAACAAUCUAAUGCAACUUUCAUGAUUGAAGCCACAACAUCUAGCUCCUUCUGAUUACCAGUUGCUGUUAUCAAGUUGGCAUCUACGACGUCCAUUAUUGCCUCUGGGAGUGAAUAGCUCACCCAUUGCUUCAAGCUAAGGUCACCCUUAAACUCAUUAGGCUUUCUCCUAGUAAAUGUUUCCAGCAACAUGACCCCAUAACUAUAGACAUCACACUUUGUUGACACUCGUCCUUCCAGACCAUACUCUACAGUCAAAUAAUUCAUUUAAAGAUGCA
rnacentral:lncRNA from 1 species